rnacentral:rRNA from 1 species
UACAGAGGGUGCAAGCGUUAUCCGGAAUCACUGGGUUUAAAGGGUGCGUAGGCGGGUAGAUAAGUCAGAGGUGAAAGGUGGUCGCUUAACGAUUAAAUUGCCUUUGAUACUGUUUAUCUUGAAUCAAGAUGAGGUUGGCGGAAUGAGACAUGUAGCGGUGAAAUGCAUAGAUAUGUCUUAGAACACCGAUUGCGAAGGCAGCUGACUGGACUUCGAUUGACGCUGAGGCACGAAAGCGUGGGGAUCAAACAGG